rnacentral:misc_RNA from 1 species
CCUCUCUCUCGAAGUCAUCAGUCCAUAAAAUCUCUUGGAUCCAAAAGCUGCCCAGAAUUGCUACUGCCACUAUCAAGUGCUCUGCUAAGAUUGAAAAUAGNNNNNNNNNUGUGAAAGAGAAGAGUGUUUCGGUCAUUCUGUUGGCUGGAGGGAAGGGCAAAAGAAUGGGUGCAAGCAUGCCAAAGCAAUAUCUACCUCUGUUAGGCCAGC